AUUGCUGCAUUAAUGCUAUAAUAUGUAGUGUCGUCGUACAAAAGACCCUUUUUCUUAAAUGAUGUAGGUCUGUAUUUUCUAUUCCUGUACCAGAACUCAUAGUAAUUUCCCACUGUAUGUUUUCUUACAGAGUAAAAUAUAUUCAAAAUGACUUCAAUGGCCGACAUUUUAAGAAGACUGUGUUCCUUCUUUUGCUGUUUGACGCCACCACAAGAUGAAACUGAAAGCAUGUCUGAGAGACAUGAAAUCCAGCAGUCAUCAAGCAAAAGGCGUGUAAAAGAAACAGAGAAACCCAAGACUGAAAAGGCGCGAAAGGUGUUCAUGCUUCCUGUGCACGAGGUCCUGACCAGCGAAUACACACCAGACACUUUUUGGAAUGCUGAAUUUUACUAAUAGCUGUAAUGAUUAUAUUACAACGUUGUCGCUCUGUAGUACUGAACAACAAGAAUAAGGUGGACGCAGUAUAAAAGUGCAGGACGAUUGCAGAGUUUAGUAUUGUUCAUAAGUACGUGUCCACUACUUGAAUCUUGAUUUGUCAGUCCUACUGUCCUUGAAAGAAUGCACAUUUAUCAGUAAAUGUUCUCAAACUAG